GGGGUUCGUGUUCGGGAUUACUGGGCGUAAGGGUUCGCAGGGGGCCGGUCAAGUCCGAUGUGAAAUCCCGGAGCUCAACUCCGGAACUGCAUUGGAAACUAAUCGGCUAGAGGCUCGGAGAGGAGAGUGGAAUUCCAGGUGUAGCGGUGGAAUGCGUAGAUAUCUGGAAGAACACCGAAAGCGAAGGCAGCUCUCUGGACGAGUACUGACCCUCAGGAACGAAAGCAUGGGGAGCAAACAGGAUUAGAUACCCUGGUAGUCCAUGCUGUAAACGUUGCGCACUUGAUGUGGAGGGACUUGACCCCCUCCGUGUCGGAGCUAACGCGUUAAGUGCACCGCCUGGGAACUACGGCCGCAAGGCUAAAACUCAAAGGAAUUGACGGGGACCCGCACAAGCGGUGGAGCAUGUGGCUUAAUUCGAGGCAACGCGAAGAACCUUACCUGGGCUUGACAUAUGCUGGACAGCCGUGGAAACACGGUCUUCCUUCGGGAUCGGCAUACAGGUGCUGCAUGGCUGUCGUCAGCUCGUGCCGUGAGGUGUUCGGUUAAGUCCGGCAACGAGCGCAACCCGCGUCGUCAGUUGCCCACAGGUAAUGCUGUGCACUCUGACGAGACUGCCCGUGUCAAGCGGGAGGAAGGCGCGGAUGACGUCAAGUCCGUAUGGCCUUUAUGCCCAGGGCUGCACACGUGCUACAAUGGCCGGUACAAUGGGACGCAAUACCGCGAGGUGGAGCAAAUCCUUAAAACCGGCCCCAGUUCGGAUUGCAGUCUGCAACUCGACUGCAUGAAGCCGGAAUCGCUAGUAAAGGCGUAUCAGCCACGACGCCUUGAAUACGUUCCCGGGUCUUGUACACACCGCCCGUCACAUCAUGGAAAGCCGUUUGCACCCGAAGUCGUUGUCCCAACCCCUUUAAAAAGGGAGGAAGACGCCGAAGUGUGGUCGGUGACUGGGAUGAAGUCGUAACAAGGUAAA
rnacentral:rRNA from 1 species